UACGUAGGGUGCGAGCGUUGUCCGGAAUUACUGGGCGUAAAGAGCUCGUAGGUGGUUUGUCGCGUUGUUCGUGAAAACUCACAGCUCAACUGUGGGCGUGCGGGCGAUACGGGCAGACUGGAGUACUGCAGGGGAGGCUGGAAUUCCUGGUGUAGCGGUGAAAUGCGCAGAUAUCAGGAGGAACACCGGUGGCGAAGGCGGGUCUCUGGGCCGAUACUGACGCUGAGGAGCGAAAGCGUGGGGAGCGAACAGG
rnacentral:rRNA from 1 species